CAUCCAACCGCCGACCUCUAUUUACCCCAGCAGAAAAUGUUUGUCUACUGGAGGAAUUUAACAGUUACAAGGACGUUUUACUAAAAGAUAUUAAAAACAAAUAUGGUACAAGACGCAGAGAAAGAAAUGUUUAAAAUACGAAAUCAUAAAACAGGAGGAUGACCACAGGAAAAGCUUAAAGACACUAGACACUAGUAGAAAUUGUACUGAAGAUAUACGGUGGGCAGUCGCCUCUGUUUUGGGGAAUAAACAGUGGACGAGAGAGCGGAGAAUGUGGGGUCAACAACAGUGCGAAUGGGGCUCCACCACCCACACCGGCCGGUGCUGGAGGUGACAGCAGCCCACCAGCAGCCUCCCGUGAGGGACAGACAGAGGCCGGCGACAGUCAAGAGAACACAGAAGAGCAACUGGAAACCACAACUAAAGGAAGUGAGGUGCAGUAUCCAGAUGGGAGAAAAAGGGAGGAAAAAAAAGGGGGCCAAGAGGAAA